AGAUUGGCAUGGGUGAGAGCCUGAUCAGCCUCCCGCGUGAAGGACGACGGCCCUAUGGGUUGUAAACUUCUUUUGUAUAGGGAUAAACCUUUCCUCGUGAGGGAAGCUGAAGGUACUAUACGAAUAAGCACCGGCUAACUCCGUGCCAGCAGCCGCGGUAAUACGGAGGGUGCAAGCGUUAUCCGGAUUUAUUGGGUUUAAAGGGUCCGUAGGCGGAUCUGUAAGUCAGUGGUGAAAUCUCACAGCUUAACUGUGAAACUGCCAUUGAUACUGCAGGUCUUGAGUGUUGUUGAAGUAGCUGGAAUAAGUAGUGUAGCGGUGAAAUGCAUAGAUAUUACUUAGAACACCAAUUGCGAAGGCAGGUUACUAAGCAACAACUGACGCUGAUGGACGAAAGCGUGGGGAGCGA
rnacentral:rRNA from 1 species